CCAGACUACAGCGACUACGCAGUGGCCGCCGCUUUUUCAGUACUGCGCCGGAGCUUCGCGGACGUCUCUCCGAUUUCACCAGCAAGAAAAAGUCGUCAUUUACCAGAGAGCUGCAGGUUCGUGUGGUUGGAGGACGGCAUCGCCUAGAAAACUGCAUUCUUGCGCUGGUUCAUUGGCCUGGCUUCUGCGUGGACAACGGGCACCGACUGUCUGACACUGCCCGGGGUUCUUUUAUAGAGUACGCAGCAUGCAGAUGUUUGUAUGUUCCACCAAUAGAGGGUAACGCCCUGAUAAAAAUAUGUAAUCU